rnacentral:pre_miRNA from 1 species
AUUUGAAUUGCUUGGAGAAAUUGCUAGAACACAGAUUUAGGGCCUAAUAAGACAGGGGUGGGACCCAAGAAUGUACAGUUCUAACAAGUUCUCAGGUGAUGCUGAU